GCGCAAACGAGCUUCUGCUUCUUCCUUGGAAUUGGAUACUAGAAGCAAGAUUUUCUUGGCUUCCCCUAAACGUCCUUGCAUUACUAACCACCUUGGAGACUCUGGCAUUUGUGUGAUGCCAAAGGCUAAGAUAAUUGAAGGUAUAGCUGCAAUUCCAAGCAUCAACCUCCAGCCAAGUUUCAGAGUCAACUUCCCAAAAAUUACGUUUGAAAUGUAGCCAAAUAAAAUGCCAAU
rnacentral:misc_RNA from 1 species